rnacentral:rRNA from 1 species
GACGAACGCUGGCGGCGUGCUUAACACAUGCAAGUCGAACGGAAAGGCCCUGCUUUUGUGGGGUGCUCGAGUGGCGAACGGGGGAGUAACACGUGAGUAACCUGCCCUUGACUUUGGGAUAACUUCAGGAAACUGGGGCUAAUACCGGAUAGGAGCUCCUGCUGCAUGGUGGGGGGUGGAAAGUUUCGGCGGUUGGGGGUGGACUCGCGGCUUAUCAGCUUGUUGGUGGGGUAGUGGCUUACCAAGGCUUUGACGGGUAGCCGGCCUGAGAGGGUGACCGGCCACAUUGGGACUGAGAUACGGCCCAGACUCCUACGGGAGGCAGCAGUGGGGAAUAUUGCACAAUGGGCGGAAGCCUGAUGCAGCAACGCCGCGUGCGGGAUGACGGCCUUCGGGUUGUAAACCGCUUUCGCCUGUGACGAAGCGUGAGUGACGGUAAUGGGUAAAGAAGCACCGGCUAACUACGUG